rnacentral:misc_RNA from 1 species
UGAGAAAUUCGAUGGUAAUUGUCAAGUGUAAAUGAUAACUCUUAGCAUUUUGAUUUAUGUUCUGUGCUCAUCUUUGAGUCACUGUACAACCUCCUACCAGUUAUUUUCUAUUCAUUCAUGCUACCUCGAGAACAAUCUUCAUAAACUCAUAGACGAAGUAACUUAUUGCUGCAGAGGGAAGUACCUGCAGUAAGCUGGGAAUGAGUCCGGAAUACAGAGCCGGAAUUCCACCUUGCUCAACAAUCUUGACACAGGUUGCCAGCGCACUCAUCUUAGUAGACCGAACUUGCAGUUGAAGUUGUCUCCUCACAACUUCAAAUGGGUAAGUAGUAGCUUCUGCACAAGCACCAGCAACUGCCCCAUACAGUAAUGUCCUGAUUGGUCCCAACUCUAGCUGGUCCAAAGCAUUCAAUUCCUGCCCAAGUUGGCUCUCUAUUCUUUUCCUGCCUUCAGGUGAAUGCAGAUAGGCAGACCAAUAUAUCAUAGACACCAUAGAAAACUGCCCCUGAAGGUGCCAUGCUUAUGAUAGAAGGUACUAAGCCCUUGUAAAGGGAAAAGAAACCUUCAGUUCGGAUCAUGUGGUGAAAAGCACCAAUCACUCCACCCAAAGCUUCCCCACCAGGUGCAGCAAUCUUGGUCCUGAUAGUGUCAAGUGGUAUACAAAGAAUGGUAGCAGUAAUGCCAGCUGCAGCACCAGCAAUGAACCUCUCAAAAUUUGUGGUUUCCUCAUUCCCAGAUAAUCUGAGCAAUUGCUUCCUAUAUGUAUCAUAUGCACAAAAAUUGACUGCUUUAAAUGGAGCUGUACGGAGAACGUUGACAAGGUUCCCCUUCCAAAAGCCUUUCAAGCCUUGUGUAGUUGCAAUUGUCUUAAUGAGGUCAAAUAUGUGCUUUUGCUCACCACGAACCAUAUAUUCCAGCUUUAAUCUCUCCAGUGGAGCAACAAAAGUUCUUGAAACCAUAGCUGCAAUAGCUCCAGCCCACAAAUGCUUGGUAGUGUUCAUAGCACCGUGUCCUCGUACGCUAACAUUCCGUUUCCUUCUUCCCUCCAAAACAACUUCACCUCCGUCGAGCACCUUUACCUCCUCAAUGACGCUCUUUGCAUCUCCGUUUUGCACCAAACAGACCUUCGGUUCGUGCAGAAGUCCAGGUCCAUCGUUUCUCAAGCUCACGGACAAAAAGAAACCACUAAACGCCACUUGACUGCUCCUUUCCCUCCUAAAUCCCCCUAAAACCGUGUGUUUAGAACAAGAAAUCAAACUCGAAAUACUAAUUGAACUACUCCUAUAAGAAAUGAGAUUAACAAAAGAAGAAGA